AUUGGCCUACGGGACGCAGCAGUAGGGAAUCUUCCACAAUGGACGAAAGUCUGAUGGAGCAACGCCGCGUGAGUGAAGAAGGGUUUCGGCUCGUAAAGCUCUGUUGGUAGUGAAGAAAGAUAGAGGUAGUAACUGGCCUUUAUUUGACGGUAAUUACUUAGAAAGUCACGGCUAACUACGUGCCAGCAGCCGCGGUAAUACGUAGGUGGCAAGCGUUGUCCGGAUUUAUUGGGCGUAAAGCGAGUGCAGGCGGUUCAAUAAAUGU
rnacentral:rRNA from 1 species